AACGAACGCUGGCGGCAGGCUUAACACAUGCAAGUCGAACGCAUCCUUCGGGGUGAGUGGCAGACGGGUGAGUAACGCGUGGGAACGUGCCCUUCAGUUCGGGAUAACCCAGGGAGACUUGGGCUAAUACCGGAUACGUGCGAGAGCAGAAAGAUUUAUCGCUGAAGGAUCGGCCCGCGUCUGAUUAGCUAGUUGGUGGGGUAAUGGCCCACCAAGGCGACGAUCAGUAGCUGGUCUGAGAGGAUGAUCAGCCACAUUGGGACUGAGACACGGCCCAAACUCCUACGGGAGGCAGCAGUGGGGAAUAUUGGACAAUGGGCGCAAGCCUGAUCCAGCCGUGCCGCGUGAGUGAUGAAGGCCUUAGGGUUGUAAAGCUCUUUCGUCCGGGACGAUAAUGACGGUACCGGAAGAAGAAGCCCCGGCUAACUUCGUGCCAGCCGCCGCUGUAA
rnacentral:rRNA from 1 species